rnacentral:rRNA from 1 species
GACAGAGGGGGCAAGCGUUGCUCGGAAUCACUGGGCGUAAAGGGUGUGUAGGUGGCGCCGUAAGUCGGGUGUGAAAUCUCGGGGCUUAACUCCGAAACUGCAUUCGAUACUGCGGUGCUUGAGGACUGGAGAGGAGACUGGAAUUCAUGGUGUAGCAGUGAAAUGCGUAGAGAUCAUGAGGAAGACCAGUGGCGAAGGCGGGUCUCUGGACAGUUCCUGACACUGAGACACGAAGGCCAGGGGAGCAAACGGG